AUGGAGUCUGUUUUGGGAUGGAUUUUCCUUGUUGCUAUUUUGAAAAGUGUCCAGUGUGAGGUGUAGUUGGUGGAGUCUGCUGGAGACAUGAGGCAGCCUGGAGAGUCUCUGAACCUCUCCUGUGACGCCUCUGGAUUCACUUUCAGUAGUUACUGGAUACACUGGGUUCACCAGGCUUCAGGGAAAGGGCUGGACUCUAUAAGUCAUGAGUUUAAUGGUACAAAGUACUAUGCACAUCCCGUGAUGGUACGAUUCGCCAUCUCCAGAGACAAUUCCAAGAACACACUUCACCUGCAAAUGGACAGUCUGAGAGCUGAGGGCACAGUUCUGUAUUACUUUUCAGCAGAAAUCACUGUGAGCCCAGACACAAAUCUCCCUGCAGGGAGGGGACUGGGCUCCAGGGAGCACUCAGGACAUGUGGAGCACAGUAUUUACAUGCAGGAGCAGGUGUAG